CCCUUAGAUGUUCUGGGCCGCACGCGCGCUACACUGAUGCAUUCAACGAGUCCAACCUUGACCGAGAGGUCCGGGUAAUCUUUGAAACUGCACCGUGAUGGGGCUAGAUUAUUGCAAUUAUUAAUCUUCAACGAGGAAUGCCUAGUAAGCGUGAUUCAUCAAAUCGCGUUGAUUACGUCCCUGCCCUUUGUACACACCGCCCGUCGCUCCUACCGAUUGAGUGUGUUGGUGAGGAGUUUGGAUUGGCCUCGGAAGGUGGUUCGCCACCGUCCGUAGCUGAGAAGUUCUCCAAACCGCCCCACUUAGAGGAAGGAGAAGUCGUAACA
rnacentral:rRNA from 1 species